UACGUAGGGGGCAAGCGUUGUCCGGAUUUAUUGGGCGUAAAGAGCUCGUAGGUGGUUCGGUAAGUCGGAUGUGAAAUCUCCAGGCUCAACCUGGAGGGGUCAUUCGAUACUGCCGUGACUAGAGGUCGGUAGGGGAGUGUGGAAUUCCUGGUGGAGCGGUGAAAUGCGUAGAUAUCGGGAGGAACACCAGUGGCGAAGGCGACUACCUGGCCUGUUCUUGACGCUGAGGCGCGAAAGCUAGGGGAGCAAACGGG
rnacentral:rRNA from 1 species